rnacentral:rRNA from 2 species
GAACGGGUGAGUAACACGUGGGUGAUCUGCCCUGCACUUUGGGAUAAGCCUGGGAAACUGGGUCUAAUACCGGAUAGGACUCCGAGAUUCAUGUCUUGGGGUGGAAAGCUUUUGCGGUGUGGGAUGGGCCCGCGGCCUAUCAGCUUGUUGGUGGGGUGAUGGCCUACCAAGGCGACGACGGGUAGCCGGCCUGAGAGGGUGUCCGGCCACACUGGGACUGAGAUACGGCCCAGACUCCUACGGGAGGCAGCAGUGGGGAAUAUUGCACAAUGGGCGCAAGCUGAUGCAGCGACGCCGCGUGAGGGAUGACGGCCUUCGGGUUGUAAACCUCUUUCAGUACCGACGAAGCGGAAGUGACGGUAGGUACAGAAGAAGCACCGGCCAACUACGUGCCAGCAGCCGCGGUAAUACGUAGGGUGCGAGCGUUGUCCGGAAUUACUGGGCGUAAAGAGCUCGUAGGUGGUU